UGAGACCUGAUGCCGAGCCGAUUGUGGUGAAGUGGAUGAUCCUAUGCUGUCGAGAAAAGCCUCUAGCGAGUUUCAUGGCGGCCCGUACCCUAAACCGACUCAGGUGGUCAGGUAGAGAAUACCGAGGCGUUCGGGUGAACUAUGGUUAAGGAACUCGGCAAAAUGCCCCCGUAACUUCGGGAGAAGGGGGGCCACGGCUGGUGAUGGGACGUGCUCCCUGAGCUGGUGGUGGCCGCAGAGACCAGCGAGAAGCGACUGUUUACUAAAAACACAGGUCCGUGCGAAGCCGUAAGGCGAUGUAUACGGACUGACGCCUGCCCGGUGCUGGAACGUUAAGGGGACCGGUUAGCUCCAUUUCGGUGGGGCGAAGCUGAGAACUUAAGCGCCAGUAAACGGCGGUGGUAACUAUAACCAUCCUAAGGUAGCGAAAUUCCUUGUCGGGUAAGUUCCGACCUGCACGAAUGGCGUAACGACUUCUCGACUGUCUCAACCAUAGGCCCGGUGAAAUUGCACUACGAGUAAAGAUGCUCGUUUCGCGCAGCAGGACGGAAAGACCCCGGGACCUUUACUAUAGCUUGAUAUUGGUGUUUGGUUCGGCUUGUGUAGGAUAGGUGGGAGACUGUGAAGCCGUGACGCCAGUCAUGGUGGAGUCGUUGUUGAAAUACCACUCUGGUCGUGCUGGAUGUCUAACCUGGGUCCGUGAUCCGGAUCAGGGACAGUGUCUGGUGGGUAGUUUAACUGGGGCGGUUGCCUCCUAAAGGGUAACGGAGGCGCCCAAAGGUUCCCUCAGCCUGGUUGGCAAUCAGGUGUUGAGUGUAAGUGCACAAGGGAGCUUGACUGUGAGACUGACGGGUCGAGCAGGUACGAAAGUAGGGACUAGUGAUCCGGCGGUGGCUUGUGGAAGCGCCGUCGCUCAACGGAUAAAAGGUACCCCGGGGAUAACAGGCUGAUCUUCCCCAAGAGUCCAUAUCGACGGGAUGGUUUGGCACCUCGAUGUCGGCUCGUCGCAUCCUGGGGCUGGAGUCGGUCCCAAGGGUUGGGCUGUUCGCCCAUUAAAGCGGUACGCGAGCUGGGUUUAGAACGUCGUGAGACAGUUCGGUCCCUAUCCGCUGUGCGCGUAGGAGUCUUGAGAAGGGCUGUCCCUAGUACGAGAGGACCGGGACGGACGAACCUCUGGUGUGCCAGUUGUUCUGCCAAGGGCAUGGCUGGUUGGCUACGUUCGGAAAGGAUAACCGCUGAAAGCAUCUAAGCGGGAAGCCUGCUUCGAGAUGAGGGCUCCCUCCCACUUGAUGGGGUAAGGCUCCCAGUAGACGACUGGGUUGAUAGGCCAGAUAUGGAAG
rnacentral:rRNA from 1 species